UACGAAGGGGGCGAGCGUUGUUCGGAAUUACUGGGCGUAAAGGGCGCGUAGGCGGCGACUCUAGUCAGAUGUGAAAGUCCUGGGCUUAACCUGGGGACUGCAUUUGAUACUGGGUUGCUUGAAUUCGGGAGAGGAUAGCGGAAUUCCCAGUGUAGAGGUGAAAUUCGUAGAUAUUGGGAAGAACACCGGUGGCGAAGGCAAUCCCCUGGGCCUGCACUGACGCUCAUGCACGAAAGCGUGGGGAGCAAACAGG
rnacentral:rRNA from 1 species